rnacentral:rRNA from 1 species
UACGGAGGGGGCGAGCGUUAUUCGGAAUUAUUGGGCGUAAAGGGCGCGUAGGCGGCUUGAUAAGUCAAAGGUGAAAUCCCUCGGCUCAACUGAGGAACUGCCUUUGAAACUGUCGUGCUUGAGGCCGGGAGGGGGUAGCGGAAUUCCCAGUGUAGCGGUGAAAUGCGUAGAUAUUGGGAGGAACACCGGUGGCGAAGGCGGCUACCUGGACCGGUUCUGACGCUGAUGCGCGAAAGCGUGGGAUAGGCAAACAAGGGAUUAAGAAACCCC